AAGUCGUAACAAGGUUUCCGUAGGUGUGAACCUGCGGUGCAAGGAUAACGCUUGACGAUUUUGCAGCCGCAACACGCGGGCAGAGCUUUGCCAAAGGGUCCCCAUGCCCCUUCCUUCUGCCGAUUUCACAUACAAAGCUCCAUUUUCAAUUAUGGAUGGGGUAAAACCGAAAAACUGUUAACAAUGGAUAUCUUGGUUCUC
rnacentral:misc_RNA from 1 species